ACUUUUAAGGACAGUAGUUAGCCCACUAAUUUUAGGAAUUACCCCCCCU
rnacentral:tRNA from 1 species